UGGCUCAGAUUGAACGCUGGCGGCAGGCCUAACACAUGCAAGUCGAGCGGAAACGAGUUAUCUGAACCUUCGGGGAACGAUAACGGCGUCGAGCGGCGGACGGGUGAGUAAUGCCUAGGAAAUUGCCUGAUGUGGGGGAUAACCAUUGGAAACGAUGGCUAAUACCGCAUGAUGCCUACGGGCCAAAGAGGGGGACCUUCGGG
rnacentral:rRNA from 1 species